UACAGAGGGUGCGAGCGUUGUCCGGAAUUACUGGGCGUAAAGGGCGCGUAGGCGGCCUUCUAAGUCGAACGUGAAAUCCCCGGGCUCAACCCGGGAACUGCGUCCGAUACUGGAAGGCUUGAAUCCGGGAGAGGGAUGCGGAAUUCCAGGUGUAGCGGUGAAAUGCGUAGAGAUCAGGAAGAACAUCGGUGGCGAAGGCGCUCUGCUGGACCAUAACUGACACUCAGGGACGAAAGCUAGGGGAGCGAAUGGG
rnacentral:rRNA from 1 species